ensembl:antisense C030027H14Rik RIKEN cDNA C030027H14 gene
CAAAUCACGAGCAGACAAAGGCAUCCAGAACUAUCAUAUUUAUUAUAAAGCUACACCUUGAAGAACAAACCCGACCGUAUACUGAAGCCUGUAAUGGUACAUGCCAAAAAUGUACUGUACUAUACAGAAAAGUGCAUCGUCACGACAAAUUAACAAAACAUCAUCAUUUCUUCCAGGACUGUAAAAGCAUCACUUUUCUCCUCACCUCAGAGAGAACCGGUACAGAGCAAGGGACAGGAUGGCAGUGGCACUGUGGGUGGGAAGGUUGGAUCAGACGGCAGGGAGUCACAGCGGGGUGAGAAAGGCACAGUCACGUAAUGGACUCAUGGCCUCCUUACUGUUGGGUUUCAGAUGUUAGAUCACGAUUCCUUCAGCAUGUAGACGUCAGAGACUGAGCAUUCCAAAAUGCUAAGGCCACUACUACCAACCCAGCUUCUUAGUUAAACUAUAGAGCCAC